rnacentral:rRNA from 1 species
GGGGAAUUUUGCACAAUGGGCGAAAGCCUGAUGCAGCGACGCCGCGUGAGGGAUGGAGGCCUUCGGGUUGUGAACCUCUUUCGCUCAUGGUCAAGCCGCGGGUGUGCUCGUGGUGAGGGUAGUGGGUAAAGAAGCUCCGGCUAACUACGUGCCAGCAGCCGCGGUAAUACGUAGGGAGCGAGCGUUGUCCGGAAUUAUUGGGCGUAAAGGGCUUGUAGGCGGUUUGUCGCGUCUGCCGUGAAAUUCCUUGGCUUAACUGGGGGAGUGCGGUGGGUACGGGCAGGCUUGAGUGCGGUAGGGGAGACUGGAAUUCCUGGUGUAGCGGUGGAAUGCGCAGAUAUCAGGAGGAACACCGGUGGCGAAGGCGGGUCUCUGGGCCGUUACUGACGCUGAGGAGCGAAAGCGUGGGGAGCGAACA